rnacentral:lncRNA from 1 species
AGGCACAAAAACACAGUUAAUGUGAGUGGACAUAAUAUUUUCAGGCACAAAAACAUAGCUUGUGAGAAACUGUAAAAAAUCCCAAAUCAAUCUCAACUCCUCAGGUUGGUAGACUCUGUCAACCAUAAACACAAUUCAUUCUCAUUUCCUCAUCCCAAUUCCUUAGGUUGGCAGAUCCAGACAGAGGCAGCAGAGGGAGGAGCUCACCGGAGGCAGGGCACCUAAGCCGAUACCGUCAUUGCGCCUUCGCCGGUGGGAAGCCGAGCUCGGCCUCACGCAGCGGCUUGGCGCACGACAAACGACGGCAAGGUGGGAGGCGCUAGAGCUGGAAGGUGAAAGGGAGGGGAGCUCGCCUUGAGUUUGGCAUCGGUGUCGGCCUGGAGCCCUGACCUGGGCAGCAGGUGUUGGUGAAGGCGGCCUGGCGUCGAGCGGCGGCGGCGGCCUGACGCCCUAACUCCGGCAGCAGCGUUGAGAGGCGUGGGGAGGACGAGAGCUGCAGCUUCGGGCUUCGGCGUCAAGCGGUUAGGGCCCUAACUUCGGCUGCAGCUUGCGCCAACGCCAUCCUUGUCGCUGCCUGCUGCCGAUUGGGGAAGAGGGAUGGGCAAACCAGCGCCCAUUGGGGAUGUCGGGAUGGCAUGAAUCGAUGACGUGUGUGGUUCCGACCCAGUGGGAGUGGGGAGGUUUUG